AUGAAGGCGACUGAGUGUGGGGAGGAAGCGUGGAGCGUAAACCGCGAGCCGAGGUACACGAACUGCAUCUGAGGCGUUACCGGACAGGGCGAGCAGCCAAGGUACUGCGAAGCUCUUGUGGCCAAAGCCCGGUGACGUAAAUGCAGCGGUUGUGCGGUGAAGGAUGGCGUUC
rfam:Pseudomonas pseudoalcaligenes KF707 = NBRC 110670 strain KF707 ctg1637, whole genome shotgun sequence.